GGUGGUUUGUUAAGUCAGAUGUGAAAGCCCGGGGCUCAACCUCGGAAUAGCAUUUGAACUGCAGCUAGAGUCUUAGAGGGGUAGAUUCAGUGAGCGUGAAUGCGUAGAGAUUGAAGGAUACCGUGCGAAGCGCCCCUGACAGAUACUGACACUCAGAUGCGAAAGCGUGGGAGCAAACAGGAUUAGAUACCCUGGUAGUCCACGCCGUAAACGAUGUCUACUUGGAGGUUGUGGCCUUGAGCCGUGGCUUUCGGAGCUAACGCGUUAAGUAGACCGCCUGGGGAGUACGGUCGCAAGAUUAAAACUCAAAUGAAUUGACGGGGGCCCGCACAAGCGGUGGAGCAUGUGGUUUAAUUCGAUGCAACGCGAAGAACCUUACCUACUCUUGACAUCCAGAGAACUUUCCAGAGAUGGAUUGGUGCCUUCGGGAACUCUGAGACAGGUGCUGCAUGGCUGUCGUCAGCUCGUGUUGUGAAAUGUUGGGUUAAGUCCCGCAACGAGCGCAACCCUUAUCCUUGUUUGCCAGCGAGUAAUGUCGGGAACUCCAGGGAGACUGCCGGUGAUAAACCGGAGGAAGGUGGGGACGACGUCAAGUCAUCAUGGCCCUUACGAGUAGGGCUACACACGUGCUACAAUGGCGCAUACAGAGGGCGGCCAACUUGCGAAAGUGAGCGAAUCCCAAAAAGUGCGUCGUAGUCCGGAUUGGAGUCUGCAACUCGACUCCAUGAAGUCGGAAUCGCUAGUAAUCGUGGAUCAGAAUGCCACGGUGAAUACGUUCCCGGGCCUUGUACACACCGCCCGUCACACCAUGGGAGUGGGCUGCAAAAGAAGUAGGUAGUUUAACCUUCGGGGGGACAGCUUACUACUUUGUGGUUCAUGACCGGGG
rnacentral:rRNA from 1 species